rnacentral:rRNA from 1 species
UACGUAGGGGGCACGCGUUGUCCGGAAUCAUUGGGCGUAAAGCGCGUGUAGGCGGCCCGAUAAGUCCGCUGUGAAAGUCCAGGGCUCAACCCUGGGAUGCCGGUGGAUACUGUCGGGCUCGAGUCCGGAAGAGGAGUGUGGAAUUCCUGGUGUAGCGGUGAAAUGCGCAGAUAUCAGGAGGAACACCAAUGGCGAAGGCAGCACUCUGGGACGUGACUGACGCUGAGACGCGAAAGCGUGGGGAGCGAACAGG